GAUGAACGCUGGCGGCGUGCCUAAUACAUGCAAGUCGAGCGAACGGACGAGAAGCUUGCUUCUCUGAUGUUAGCGGCGGACGGGUGAGUAACACGUGGAUAACCUACCUAUAAGACUGGGAUAAUUUCGGGAAACCGGAGCUAAUACCGGAUGAUAUUUUGAACCGCAUGGUUCAAGAGUGAAAGACGCUCUUGCUGUCACUUAGAGAUGGAUCCGCGCUGCUUUAGUUAGUUGGUAAGGUAACGGCUUACCAAGGCAACGAUGCAUAGCCGACCUGAGGGGGUGAUCGGCAACCCGGGAACUGAGACCCGGUCCAGACUCCACGGGGAGGCACCAGUAGGGAUUCUGCCGCAAUGGGCGAAAGCCUGACGGAGCAACGCCGCGUGAGUGAUAAAGGUCUUCGGUUCGUAAAACUCUUUUAUGAGGGAAGAACAUAUGUGUAAGUAACUGUGCUCUUCUGGACGGUACCUAAGCAGAAAGCCACGCCAACCUCCGU
rnacentral:rRNA from 1 species